rnacentral:misc_RNA from 1 species
UCCGUGGGUAGGGCACAGGAA